rnacentral:rRNA from 1 species
GCUACGGCCAUACCAGCCUGGGUACGCCCGAUCUCGUCUGAUCUCGGAAGCUAAGCAGGGUUGGGCCUGGUUAGUACUUGGAUGGGAGACCGCCUGGGAAUACCAGGUGCUGUAAGCA